CUUGUCUGUUAAAUAAAGUAAAUUAAUGUAAUUAAUUUUUAAACAAUAUUAUGUUUAUAAAAAUAUUUUUUGAACAAAGCAUUUCUUAAUUUAAUAUAAAACAUUUAAUAAACAUGUAAUGAAUAAGUACAUAUUAUAUGCAUAAAUUUAUAUGGAAUUUUUGUUUUAUUCUAAAAUUGAUGCAUAUACACGCACAAUAUGUUUGAAAAAUAAAAAACAGAUUAAUUUACAUUUGUUUUAAGAGGUAACGCCACUUGAAUUAAAAAAAAAAUGAGUUUUUUUUGUUUAAAUCAUACUUUAAGGGGGAAGUCUACUGUAAAAUUUUCAAAAAAUCAAUUUUUUGUUUAUUGGCUUAAAAAAUACUUUGAACCCUCUAAAAUAAGGUACAUUAGGUGUUAUAGCCGGCUAAAUUUUUCUUCAUUAAAAUCUCGACUUUUUACCGAAGCACUCCAAAACGCGUACCUGCGGCAAAUUCCUAUCUGUUCGGCGGGUACAGCGUAGUGACUUGCAAUUCAAUUUCUAACAUUUCUAAUACUCCAAGUCGAAAAUUUGUUGACACGUUGUGUUGGAGAAUAUACACAGAACAGCAACGAGAGCCUGAAUGCGAUGAUCUGGUCGUUAGCUCCGAAACAAACAUUCAGCGGCGCAAAAACCUUCGAUAUUGCGUCGUAUUGUGCUGCGAGCAUUUUCAAUGAAGGCUACUCCAGCAUCCUCAAAAUGAUGGACGUUAUGAACAUCAAAAUUGGACCAAACGCCUUCAAUUUAUGCAACACCGUGGACGAGAAUAUCACAAGCAAACGAACGGUCGUUUGACGCUUCAAAAGAAGGGAGAAUCGAAAGAAGAACGGCGCAAUCGGCACUCGAAGAGGAUUUCCUUGAAGAAGAAGGUGUACUAUAUGAAGCAGGAAUGGGCGAUUAAUGAUCACCUAGACGUGAGAUUUCAUGUACACCGUUUGGGCACCUAAAAAAACGGACCUGCGCUUGAAGGAUUGCCACGACGACAAUUUUGAAUAUUUCGACUUAAAAAUUUUUUUACAAAUACUUGAAUAUUUAAUAAAGAUGACGGUUUAAUUUAAAUUAAUGUACGAGUCAUAUUUUGUUAGAAAAAAAAUUCGGAAAAUCGGCCUGUUUUUUCCCUUGUCACAGUAGACUUCCCCCUUAAGUUCUUAGAAAUAAGAUACAAAAAGUAUAAAAGCGAGGACAGGUCUGUAAGUGUCAUUUUUGAAAGUGUGAAGCAGUGUACUUUUUGGUAAGAUUUGAAGCGUUUGCGAAGAGAUUCUUCCGAGAAUAAUAAAAGGAUUAAUUACUUUGAGUGAAACUUAAGUAAGCUUUUCUUAGCUUCCUAGUGAACGUAUAGAAGAAAAAGGAAUGCAUUGAUCAUAUGCAAAAACGAAUGGGUAAGCGCCUUUGCAACUUGAAGAAAUCCACAAAAAAACUUGGAGUAAAAGGCAAAUUGAUUGGAAAACUUAUAGAUAAAUUGUCUCUUUUUUUAGAUUAACUAUCCGUCGUAAUUAUGAUUCAAUUGUAAAUAUGAGACGAGAGAUUCGGGCAAACUUUUAUCAUAAGGUAUCCACAGACGAAAGACCAUAGUACAAUAAACGACCGCCCGGUAAAUAUUCGGUAAUUCGUGGUGUAAGUUGCAGCAGACGAAAGCCACUAAUACAUUAGCUGAAUUUAAGCAUAAGCCAGUUUUUCCUGGUUUUGGAUGCUAUUAAGCCAAUCCAUGAAGAAUUAAACAGUGAAGAUUUUUUUGAACGUUGUUUAGGUGGCUACACACAAAACAGUAAUGAAAGUUUCAACUUUGAUUGUCAAUGGCUACAAAAACAGUUUCUAGCGGUAAAGUUAUUUUUGAUACUGCAAAUAAUAUUCCUGUUUGUAUAAACAAUGAUACCUACUCAAACGUUAUGAAAAUUAUGGAAGAGUUAAGCAUGACAAUUGGACCGAAGUGCUACAAUUACUGCCUCGAAAUUGAUGCGCGGCGCAUUAUGUGUUCGGAGCGCUUGCUAACAAAUGCUGCAAAAGAGGCUUGAUCAUCUCUAAAAUUUGCCAAGAGGGAUGAGGUGCAGGAGAAUAUUACUAAGGAAGGCCAAAUGUAGGUGCAGACAUUGCAGAUUAAAGAUAAACAAAAAAUUUUUAUCUCUGAUUGUUACAUAAAACUUUAAACGCGUUUUUCUCAAAAUCACUUUUUUAAAUUUGCCGUACCUAUAACUCUCAUAAAUCUUGACCGUUUAACUUGAAAUUUUAACUGUAUCUUCUACAAUAUAUUUGUCAGCGAACUAAGUACGGAUUUUAGGUUUCGUUGUAAAUUUUUUUUAUACAUAAAUUUCUACAAAAUUUUAAUCAAAGAAGUGAACUUUUUCUUCAAACUCGUGUCAUUUUUACAAAAAGAAUUAUUUUCCGUACUUAGUUUGCUAGCUAAUGACGCAAAAAAUUAAAAAAAAAUUGGUUUUUUUUGUAGAUCAAAAAUUGGAGCAGAUUUUGGUACGGUAAUAAGGCACCUUCUGAAACAAGUGGUUACCGUUGUCAACGUUUGUCACUGCCAUUUUGUAAUAAAACUAUGCAACAAAAAUUUUUUUUAUGCUGUAAAGUAUGUAGAAUAUGUGUUUAAAAAAGAUUUUUGUUACUGUUUUUGUUUUUCUGUAAAAAAUGAUCAAAAUUAGGCCUCUUUUGGAGACUCUAGUGGCGUUACUCCUUAAAUCGUUUACUAAUAAAGAUAAAAAUAUAUUUUAAAGUAUAUUUAUUAUCUAGCUCACCUAAUGUCACAGCACCAGUGCAAAGCGUGAAACGAAAAUACAUGCUCAAAUUCAGUAAUAUAUUUUUUAGGUAAAUUUUUAGUUUCAAUAUCCAGUACUUCGAAUUGGACACGUUUUUCAUCAUUGGAUGCUACAUUUGCAUAUUUAAUCAUUUCCUCCGAAAUAUCCGUACCUUGACAAAACGUAAUAUUUGAAUAGAGAGAUGAACAAUGAAGUAGCGAAAAAAAGGAAAGCUGUGUACAGUUAAAACAUGUUUUUUUAAUUUAAAAGAGAUCAAAAUCAUUUACAUAAUUAUUUCCUUAUGUUCAAUAUUUGGUUAUAUAUCUCUCUUUUGUUACUUUGCGUAUAACGAACUUGUCUUUCAUUUGUUAUUAUGCAAUCAUUGAAUUAAAUAAUUAUUUAACGUUGGUUUUUUGUUAUUUUUAAAAUGUAGGUUUUUACCAAUUAUUCGUGCAUCUGAGCCAAGAGCCGGUAACAAUAAGUUCUUUGUUAUAUCUCCAGGACCGCAACCAACGUCCAUACACUUUCCACGCAUAUUUGUUAGAUUCUCGGCAAAUUCUUCGAGUAUAUUCUUUACGUUAUAUUUCAUUAGGUUGUCAUUUGCACUGUAAACUUCUGGACUAGUCAUGACUUCCCGGACUUUUGCACUGUGGUUUUGACAACUUUGUGCCGCGGUAUUAUCUUAGCAGUGCCUUAUAUAAUCUACGAUAUUAUAUGGUGAGAAACUUAUGAAAAUUUAUUAUUUAAUUUGUUCUGUGGUUUUUUACAUAUACUUCGAACUAUACAAAAUUACUUAUUAAGAUAUUAGGAAAACAAAUUUAGUGCCGUCAACAAAACUAUUUAGUUUUGUUGUUAGUUAGCACAAAAUGCAAUUGUUGAGUAAAAAGAUAAACAACCAAAUAACAAGCAAAAAAGAUGUUUUAUAUAAAUUAUUUUGAUCUUCUUUUAAUUAAACAAACAUGUUUUGGCUGUAUUUAGUCCUCCUCAGUAUUAUGUACAGAUUUAAUCUGUAUGUAUAUAUAUAUAUAUAUAUAUAUAUGUAUAUAUAUGCAUAUGUAACAGUCUGUCAAAAACAGUCACAAAAAUAAUAAGCUUUAACGAUUAAAAAUUAAAACGUUAUUUAUAUUCAAUGAAAUUCUAUACAAUCUAUUGCAACCGUAUAUGAAGCCUAAACAAUUAUUUGACAGUUUUUCUACAUCAUCAAUGUGUAUCAUCAUUUUUUUAUUGUUAUAAUGGAAUUGAUUCACGGGACUUUUACAUGCACAGAUAUCCCCAGAAUAAUUUCAUUAAAAAAUGCAUUUUUACAAUCAGAUUCGAAACUCCAAAAGAAGGAAAACAACGUUUUCAAUUGGUCAAUGCAAGAAAUUUGAUGUGAUCUCUUAUUUACUCUUGUUUUUAAUAUAUAAAUUAUUUUGUGCAUUUGACGGUUAAGAAUAUGAGUCAAGAAUUUAAACACACACACUGUAACUAUUGUUUAAAGUUGUAUAUUUUAAAAUUUGACUUGAUACACGUAUAUCAGUUCAGAUAAAGAUAGAUGUUAAAAAAGUUUAUUAUCUAUUAAUUAAAUGUUUUAUAUUAUAGUAUAUCUAUAUAAUAUGGUAUUUAUUUUAUAUUAUUAAUAUUGUGGGAUUAACAGAUGGAAACAUGAACGCGUUUUAAAUUAUCGUUGACAGAACUUCUAGAGAAGAUGACUCGGAACAAAGUGAAGUCUCUCGUUACUCGUAUGUUCUGUUAUCGCCGCUAUGCUAUCCUCUGUCCCACAAUAUUAUAAACAUUUGUUGAUAUUAGUGUUAGUGCUGUCUACCAAAUGUGUUACUAUGUUUCUAUGAUUGUACAUGUUUAUACAAGUAUUAUACAAUUUUCUGCGCAUAAACCACUAACACUGUAAAUAGAUCUAAUGUAAGUUCCUUAUUAUCCUUUGAUUUGUAGUUAAUUUUUCUUUUCAAGUAUUCAUGUAUUAAUACUUUUUUGAACUUUUCCAUUACAUCAUUUGGCAUGUC